UCCCAUGUAGUCUAGCGGUCAGAAUUCCUAGUUUUCACCUAGGCAGCCUGGGUUUGACUCCCAGUAUUGAAU